UACGGAGGGUGCAAGCGUUAUCCGGAUUUACUGGGUUAAAGGGUGCGUAGGUGGGUCUGUAAGUCAGUGGUGAAAUCUCCGAGCUUAACUCGGAAACUGCCAUUGAUACUAUAGGUCUUGAAUUAUCUGGAGGUAAGCGGAAUAUGUCAUGUAGCGGUGAAAAUGCUUAGAUAUGACAUAGAACACCAAUUGCGAAGGCAGCUUACUACGGAUUGAUUGACACUGAGGCACGAAAGCGUGGGGAUCAAACAGG
rnacentral:rRNA from 1 species